GACGAACGCUGGCGGCGUGCUUAACACAUGCAAGUCGAACGGAAAGGCCCUGCUUGCAGGGUACUCGAGUGGCGAACGGGUGAGUAACACGUGGGUGAUCUGCCCUGCACUUCGGGAUAAGCUUGGGAAACUGGGUCUAAUACCGGAUAGGAGCCAUCUUUAGUGUGGUGGUUGGAAAGUUUUUUCGGUGUAGGAUGAGCUCGCGGCCUAUCAGCUUGUUGGUGGGGUAAUGGCCUACCAAGGCGGCGACGGGUAGCCGGCCUGAGAGGGUGUACGGCCACAUUGGGACUGAGAUACGGCCCAGACUCCUACGGGAGGCAGCAAUGGGGAAUAUUGCACAAUGGGCGCAAGCCUGAUGCAGCGACGCCGCGUGGGGGAUGAAGGCCUUCGGGUUGUAAACUCCUUUCGCUAGGGACGAAGCUUUUUUGUGACGGUACCUAGAUAAGAAGCACCGGCUAACCACGUG
rnacentral:rRNA from 1 species